GCGCACCGGUCCAGGAGGUGACCUUGGGCUCCGGGCUGAAUCACAGAAGAAAUUAGUUCCUCCGCGAGAUGAAGCCAGAGGAGGAGAGACCGAUUAUAGAUCGCGAAAAGGCCAGUCGGAGAGUCAAGCUCGAGACCUGCCUCUUCUUGAAACUCUGUAACUGUCUCUGUUCAUACCAUGCCUCACCCUCUUCUGGAUUCCACUGAUAAUGCUGCCAGCCAACAUUAUUGAGCUUCCUAUGUGCUGAGCACUGUGUUGAAGCACUUUCUAUUCCUCUCUGUACACGCUCAU